rnacentral:rRNA from 1 species
CGACUAUCUGUAGCUUGUUUGAGAGGAUGAUCAGCCACACUGGAAUUCAGACACGGUCCAGACUCCCACGGGAGGCAGCACUGGGGAAUUUUCCGCAAUGGGCGCAAGCCUGAAGGAGCAAGACCGCUUGGGGGAUGAAGGUUCUUGGAUUGUACACCCCUUUUGAUUGGGAAGAAGUUAUGACGGUACCCAUGAAUAAGCCUUGCAACUCUGUGCCAGCAGCCGCGGUAAUACGGAGGAUGCCAGCGUUAUCCGAAUUAUUGGGCGUAAAGCGUCCGUAGGUGGUUUACAAGUCUGCUGUCAAAGCUGCGGCUUCACUCCGUACAGGCGGUGGAAACUACUCUCCUUGCCUGCGGUAGGGGUCGCGGGAAUUCCCAGUGUAGCCUUGAAAUGAUUAGAUAUGGGAAGAACACCGGUGGCGAAAGCCUUUACUG